UUGGAAAUUAUAUAUUUAUGCAUGUUUUUGUAUUUUCUUGGGUUUUAAUUGAUAUUUGAUCUAUUUUUCUGUGUUCUUUUAAUUCAAGAAGUAUUAUGAAGUGUUUGGAUCAUGUUAAAAAACUUAGACCAUUAGGUAGUUGUAAUUAAUUAGAAAUCUUAACCCUUUAGGAGACUAGAAUUAGAAUCCAAUGCAAAUUGUUAUUAAUAUUUUCUUUAUUUCUUUUAUUUUCUUUAGUUUCUUUAUUUUUUAUUACAAACAAAAUUGAUAAGUAGCCCUAAGGUAAGUACCAAAGAGGGCAUUUUCGUGGAGCUUAUGUGGAGCUAAACAGGAGUAAGUCAGAGAUAUCAUUACCAUACUAGAAGAGAAUACCCUUUUUUAAGGGUAGCUUACCCCAAUGGCAACUGCAUUUACCAAUAAUGGAAAAGAAUACCGGGAAGGAAUCCGAGGUGUCGAGUCAAGGCCAAAAGGCGACUCAUAUAAGAUAUAGAGACUAGAGGAGCUGCAGAUUGAGCUGCUGAGGAUUGAGGAGCUACUUGCCUUGAAGCUAUCGGAUCAGAGCCGCUUGCGUGUCCUCUUGGGCGAUGGUGGGGCAAACCUCAGCGAAGACGUUGAGUCCCAAAAGGGGGGAAAAAGGUCCCUUAGGCAAAUCCCAUAUCGGCAAAGCACAGAGAUGGUCUUGGGUUCAAAAAGUAAUGAUAUAUAAAAUGGGGGAACUAAUCACUAAAGGCGCCUUUUGGUGGAAUGACCUGGAAAGUUGGAAGAACUCUAGGGUUAAGCGUGCUCGCUUGAAAGAAAUCCUAGGAUGGGUGACCUCCUGGGAAGUUCUUCAUUCCACCUAUGGGACAAAACCGUGAGGCUUAUGGCCAAAGUGGACAAUUCCUCUAGUGGUUGGAGUCCGAUCGUUACAUAGUGAGGCUUAACACUAAGUAUAUAAAUAAAGCACAAGGAAAGGAAUCAAAGCACAAAUGCUCAUUUUCAUUAAAUAAAAUCAAAGGAAUACCAUGAGUUAAAAUAGAGUGUUACAUUCCAACUCUAAAAUUUAUUCACUCAUGUUUAUAUUUACAAUGAAAGUCAUAAAUGAUACUACAACUCCCAAAAAUUGAACUUAUAGGCAAUUAAUGAGUAACCGACUAACAGGUAGAUACCUGAGCAUUGUCCAAGUAAUGAUACUCUUCCAGUGUAUUCCUAGUUACUUGGAUCAAUCACUUGAGAAUAAGGAUCCUGAUAUACUCGCCAAGAUCUCAGUCCUAACAUCCCUAAAACUCCUAAGCAAUUUCGAGUCUAGGUCUUAUUAUGAUACUAACUCCUAAUUCUAAUAAAAAUCUAAACCAAAGCCUAUAAGAGCCAUUAGUGCACAUAUCUAACUCAGUUAAUCCCAUUUAUCCAUUGAUAAGUUCCUAAUAUUGACUUAAGCAUUGGAGUGUUGCCAACCAACCCACCUAGUAUUUUCUUGAAUUGCAUAUCCAAGAUCCAUGAUCCAAACCCACAGAAGAGGAGAAUAGCAUCACUGGCGUCGUCUAUGAGAGAGUUGCCUCAAAAUUUUCCUAUUUGAUGAACAAAUCUUAUGAUUGCUAUUUUUCACCAUUAUUUUCACCAUGGCUUCAUGUCCACCACUAGUUGAUGGAACCACUAAUGACGUCACUACUGCAAAUAACACACUAACACAACCCAUGUAGCCAUGAAUUUGAAAGAUUGUCAGAAGAAGAUUAUUACAACUCUUUCCACUAACCGUCUUAGAAUGGACUUUAAUUUAUACCGAAGAUUAAAGCUGUCGAGGAAGCCCCAUCGAGUUUAAUGAUUGCUACACUUGUGUCGACGACAGAGUCGGAGUUGACUGCAACUUUUGAGCAUAAG